rnacentral:lncRNA from 1 species
CAAGGGCUCCCAUUUCAUAUGUAUCACUAAAAAUACUUCCAUUGUGUAUUGUCAAAGGCUAAUGCAAGAAUCAAUGCUAAAGACUACAUUUACUCAACUCUCUCUCAUUUACUUGCAAUACACAAAUCGAGUUUAUACACUUUUACAUAUACAUUUACGAGCACCGGUUGGUAAUUAUUGUACAAUCGGAUUACGAACAACCCGCCGGAUUCCAAACGUCACCGUCCCGCAUCGUUAGGCUACUCCCAAACCCCUUUGAACCGCUCGUUUUAGACCGUCCACGUGUCUUAGCGUGUUGGACAUUCGUCCACGCAAGCGCAGGUGGGACCGACAUCUGUUGGAGCACUUUUUGGGGUCAACAGGUACAAUUCUUGUAUGUAUUUUUGUGCUGUCUCCUCAAAUUUAGCUGUCAGAAUCAUACAAACAUAAAUAUAAAAUGCAAAGAUGUACUCACUCAAUGACUAUCAAAAUGGCAUUAAUAUUUUUUGCGUUAGAGGAUUUUGUUGUUUGCCAUUCAACAUCCUUGGGAUCUUCG